AAAAACAUAACUGUAAGAAUACAUAUUUACAGCAAUUUCUGCUCAAUGAUUUUUAAAUAGCCGCAGUACCCUGACUGUGCUAAGGUAGCAUAAUCAAUUGGCUCAUAAUUGGAGUCUAGUAUGAAUGAAUUUAUGGGGGUUAACUGUUUCAUAUUAAUAGCGUUAAAUUAUUUAUUAAGUGAAAAUACUUAUAGGUAAACAAUAGACGAGAAGACCCUAGAAAUUUUUAUUAUGGGUAAAAAGCACAUUUUUGUUGGGGCGACAGAGUAGCAAAUAACCUACUUAUGGUACCUGAAUAAAAUAUUAGGAAUGGGUAAAUUACUCUAGGGAUAACAGCAUAAUAUUUAAAAGUUUGUGACCUCGAUGUUGGAUUAGGAAAAUUAUGCUUAGAAGGCGAAUAUUUUUGCUCUGUUCGAGCAAUACAAUAUCCUACGUGAUCUGA
rnacentral:rRNA from 1 species